UAUUCUGAGACUUACUGAGGAAGUUACGUCAUUUAUAUCUCUGUGAUUAUCAAACCAGCUACAUAAUUCCUGAGGUUUAUUUUCCCAUGGAUCAACAUUUGAACUAGAAAUAGUCUUCACUAUAAGAGUUGGAUACCACACCUUAGGCAGUUUACAAAAAUGCAGACAUAUGGUUGUCAAACACUCCUAAGAGACUAUAAUUAAUAGUUUCCCCAGGUGACUCUAUAAGGAAUUAUGUCGUAUUAGUUUUAAGGUAGUUUGUUAAAAACACCAAUUUUAACAGAAUACACUCCUUAGAAGGAUCAGCAUUUAAGUUCCAAUUAGGAGCCUCGAUAUAAGAGCUCCAUCCACUAAGCUUUGAUAUAGGAGAUUCUGAUCAACUCUACACUUGAGGUAGUUUGCAAAAGACACCAAUUUUAACAGAAUACACUUUCAAGUGGGAUUAUCAUUCAAGCUCCAGUUAGGAGCCCCAAUAUAAGAGUUCCAUCUAUUAAGUCUCGAUAUAGGAGAUUCUGAUCAACUUCA